GACAGAGGGUGCAAACGUUGUUCGGAAUUACUGGGCGUAAAGCGAGUGUAGGCGGUUCGAUAAGUCGGAUGUGAAAGCCCGGGGCUCAACUCCGGAAUUGCCUUUAAAACUGCAUCGCUAGAGUUGUGGAGAGGUAAGUGGAAUUCCGAGUGUAGAGGUGAAAUUCGUAGAUAUUCGGAAGAACACCAGUGGCGAAGGCGACUUACUGGACACAUAUUGACGCUGAGGUGCGAAAGCGUGGGGAGCAAACAGG
rnacentral:rRNA from 1 species